GCAAGACGGACCGAAGCGAAAGCAUUUGCCAAGAAUGUUUUCUCUGAUCAAGAACGAAAGUUAGAGGUUCGAAGGCGAUCAGAUACCGCCCUAGUUCUAACCAUAAACGAUGCCAGCCAGCAAUCCGCCGAAGUUCCUCCGAUGACUCGGCGGGCGGCUUCCGGGAAACCAAAGCUUUUGGGUUCCGGGGGAAGUAUGGUUGCAAAGCUGAAACUUAAAGGAAUUGACGGAAGGGCACCACCAGGAGUGGAGCCUGCGGCUUAAUUUGACUCAACACGGGAAACCUCACCAGGCCCGGACACCGGGAGGAUUGACAGAUUGAUAGCUCUUUCUUGAUUCGGUGGGUGGUGGUGCAUGGCCGUUCUUAGUUGGUGGAGCGAUUUGUCUGGUUAAUUCCGAUAACGAACGAGACUCUAGCCUGCUAACUAGUCGCUUCCGGCAUCCUUUUGCGCUGCCGGCGACUUCUGAUCUUCUUAGAGGGACAGGCGGCUUCUAGCCGCACGAGAUUGA
rnacentral:rRNA from 1 species